AGAACGAACGCUGGCGGCGCGUCUUAAGCAUGCAAGUCGAACGGCAAGAGGUAGCAAUACCUCCUAGAGUGGCGGACUGGUGAGUAACACGUGGGUGACAUACCCUUCAGAUGGGGAUAGCUAUUAGAAAUAGUAGAUAAUACCGAAUACGAGCACAGGGGGUUAGAGAUCUGUGAGGAAAGGAGCUAAGGCUCCGCUGAAGGAAUGGCCUGCGGCCCAUUAGCUAGUUGGUGAGGUAAGAGCCCACCAAGGCGAUGAUGGGUAUCCGGCCUUAGAGGGUGAACGGACACAUUGGGACUGAGAUACGGCCCAGACUCCUACGGGAGGCAGCAGCUAAGAAUAUUCCGCAAUGGACGAAAGUCUGACGGAGCGACGCCGCGUGGAUGAAGAAGGCCGGAAGGUUGUAAAAUCCUUUUGAAACUGAAGAAUAAGCGUUGUAGGGAAUGACAGCGUGGUGACAGUAGGUUUUGAAUAAGCAACGGCUAAUUACGUGCCAGCAGCCGC
rnacentral:rRNA from 1 species